rnacentral:rRNA from 1 species
UACGUAGGGAGCAAGCGUUGUCCGGAAUUACUGGGUGUAAAGGGAGUGUAGGCGGGACGGCAAGUCAGAUGUGAAAUGUAGGGGCUCAACCCCUGAACUGCAUUUGAAACUGCUGUUCUUGAGUGAAGUAGAGGUAGACGGAAUUCCUAGUGUAGCGGUGAAAUGCGUAGAUAUUAGGAGGAACAUCAGUGGCGAAGGCGGUCUACUGGGCUUUUACUGACGCUGAGGCUCGAAAGCGUGGGGAGCAAACAGG